rnacentral:rRNA from 1 species
GACGAACCGAGCGAACGUUAUUCGGAAUCACUGGGCUUAAAGGGCGCGUAGGCGGGCCGCCAAGUCAGGGGUGAAAGCCCCCAGCUCAACUGGGGAAGUGCCUUUGAUACUGGCGGUCUCGAGGGGGAUAGGGGCGUGCGGAACUUCCGGUGGAGCGGUGAAAUGCGUAGAUAUCGGAAGGAACACCGGUGGCGAAAGCGGCGCGCUGGAUCCCUUCUGACGCUGAGGCGCGAAAGCGUGGGGAGCAAACAGG